rnacentral:rRNA from 1 species
GACAUGAAGUUAGGUCAGCAAACCCGCUGAAUUUAAGCAUAUAAGUAAGCGGAGGAUAAGAAACUAAAUAGGAUUCCCUCAGUAAUGGCGAAUGAACAGGGAUAAGCUCAGCAUGGAAAUCGGUGUCUCUGGCAUUGAAUUGUAGUCUCGAGAUGUACUGCCAACGGAGGCGCAGAUGUAAGCCUCUUGGAAAAGAGCAUCAACGAGGGUGAGAGUCCCGUUUGUCAUCUGCAGUCCCCCGUGCACGGCGUUCUUCUCAAGAGUCACGUUCCUCGGAAAUGGAGCGCAAAGUGGGUGGUAAAUUUCAUCUAAAGCUAAAUAUAGGUUCGAGACCGAUAGCAAACAAGUACCAUGAGGGAAAGGUGAAAAGGACUUUGAAAAGAGAGUUAAAAGUGCCUGAAAUUGCUGAAAGGGAAGCGAAUGGAACCAGUGUUUCUUGGCAAGAUUGGUGCGUGCUAAUGGGAUUGCCUGCUGCUUCAGCGCAAGCGUGGUAGUGGGUUUUGAUCAGGACGUGCGUGUUGUUUCUUGCCUUGUCUGUCAACGUCAGUUCUCAAUCGAGGAAAACGCCAGGGACAUGGUAGCCUGUCUCCGGGUGGGUGAAUGUGCUUGGUUGAACUCAUUUGUGAACUGGUUCUUGCGUGUCUGGUUGCAGUGUGCUGAGUCCUCACACCCUCACGGGUGGUUUCGGCCUCUGUGGGUGGAGUGAGUGACCGGUAUAUCUCCCUGACACAACGACGCUGACUAAAUGGUUCUAUUCGACCCGUCUUGAAACAC